rnacentral:misc_RNA from 1 species
UUUUACCCAAAUCUGAGAGAAAGUGAAAAUAGAGAGUAAUUUUAUGGAGUAUCUGUAUUACUACUACUAGUAUUGAAGUUUCCUGCAUAUGGAGAAAAUGAAACGAAAAAGUUACAUAAAGAUGCAGGAAAGGGUUCAGUAGAUCCUUGGGUUUAAGCAGAGGUGGUGUGAAUUUCUGGUAAUACAGUACACAGUGGCUAGAGGAUGACGGACCCCCUACCUGUCCCACCGGAAUCCUCACCGGAGUCGGAUUAUCGCUUAUGGAUCGGAAACCUGGACUCCAGGUUAACAGAGUUCAGCAUACUGAAGAUUCUACAGAAGUUUGGAUCCUUAAAAAAGUUUGACUUCCUGUACCACAAAUCCGGCCCAGACCAGGGAAAAUCUAGAGGCUAUUGCUUCGCCAGUUAUGAUAAUAAAGCAAGUGCAGAGCAUGCCAUGGCCAAAAUGAAUGGAAAACUAGCUUUGUCAAAACGGCUGAUUGUGAAGUGGGCCAAUAAGGAUGUAUCUAUUGAGCAGGAAAAACCAAAGAUGACUAUAAAUGCAGGGAACAGAGCAGAAGAGGGAGAUAUUAGCCCUCAGAGCAAAAUACAAGCAAUAGAGGCCAAGUUGCAGAAAAUGCAAGACAGAAAUCCAUCCAUGGACCUGAAAGCUGUGCCCGGUAGCAGCCAGCUGAGCGUGGUUCAGAGGGAGGCCCGUCUAAAACAGCUUGAGCUGAUCAACGCCAAGAAACAGUCCAGGAAGCCAUACAAGAGGUGAUCAGUCGCAGCAUUGCUUCCAUACAAGGGAGAAUCCCAGUCUGGCUGAAUGAAAGCCUCCGACCCAUGGUCUACCACUUAUUGCCAAAAUGGACACCUCGUCAUGCUGUUGACCUGAUCAGGGUGUAUGCAAUUUUAGUUAUGGAUGUGUUGUUGGACUUUGUUAGCAUCGUAACUGAUUUAAUCAAGACAGAUUCCAUUUUGUUAAAAGAAACUUCAAACUGUCUGGAAAAAUUUAAGAACAAUAAAUCAUGGUUUGUGC